GACAUAGGUUGCGAGCGUUAUUCGGAAUUACUAGGCGUAAAGCGAGUGCAGGCGGACCUUUAAGUCUGACGUUAAAUCUCCUGGCUUAACUAGGAGCUGUCGUCGGAUACUGAAGGCCUCGAAUGGGGUAGGGGGCAGCGGAAUUCCCGGUGUAGCGGUGAAAUGCGUAGAUAUCGGGCGGAACACCUGUGGCGAAAGCAGCUGCCUGGGCCUGUAUUGACGCUAAGACUCGAAAGCUGUGGGAGCAAACAGG
rnacentral:rRNA from 1 species